rnacentral:rRNA from 1 species
UACGGAGGGAGCUAGCGUUGUUCGGAAUUACUGGGCGUAAAGCGCGCGUAGGCGGCUUUGUAAGUUAGAGGUGAAAGCCCGGGGCUCAACCCCGGAACUGCCUUUAAGACUGCAUCGCUUGAAUCGUGGAGAGGUGAGUGGAAUUCCGAGUGUAGAGGUGAAAUUCGUAGAUAUUCGGAAGAACACCAGUGGCGAAGGCGACUCACUGGACACGUAUUGACGCUGAGGUGCGAAAGCGUGGGGAGCAAACAGG